rnacentral:tRNA from 1 species
AGUUUAGUCUUCCGGAGUGCAAAUCCGAACAAGGCGUUAUCUGCCCUGAACUU